CCCUUAGACGCUCUAGGCGGCACGCGCGCUACAAUGGGUGGUAGAACGUGUAACUGCUCCCGAAAGGGAGGGUGAACCACGAAUACUUACCCGUGAAUGGGAUAGUUUGUUGCAAUUUUCGGACUUGAACUAGGAAUCCCUUGUAAGAAUGCUCAAGAAUAGCGUGCUGAAUACGUCCCUGCCGUUUGUACACACCGCCCGUCGUUUCUUCCGACUGAUACUCAUUGUGAGUUGCAAGGAUUCUUAUUGAAAAAUUGCUGCGAAUGCUGUGGAUUGGAGGAAGAAAAAGUCGUAACA
rnacentral:rRNA from 1 species